UGAGCAAGGUUGGAGUUAUUGUUAAAAGCUC
rnacentral:piRNA from 1 species